UUAUUUUUGAUCAUUCCAUGAAUUUUCAGUUCUUGAUUUUGAUUAUUGCAUGAGAAAAUAUUGAAUCACUUGGUUGAUGCAAAAUAUUUGUGUUUGUCUGUGAAUAACACAGGUUGUGUUUUACAAGAGAAUCAACAAAGUGUUCUUCGUUGAGUCCAUUCCUAAAGCUCCAUCAGGGAAGAUAUUGAGGAAAGACCUGAGGGCAAAACUAGCAAAUGGGUUGGUGAACUAAAGAAACGAAACGCAAAAGAUGUUCCAUUGUGUAUAUACAUACAACAACUGUUUGACGAACCCAACGAAGGAAGGAGAGGGACUCAUUCGAAUCAUACCAAUGUCUGUUUCUUUUUUGUUUGUUUGUUGUUGUUGUUGUCUUUGAUUCAUGUAAUGAACCUUUUGUAAUAAAAGGUGGUUUCUUUUUUUUGGGUUUCAUGUAACUUGUGCUGGAGAAGACCAGCAGACUUUUUUUCAUAAAAUAAAUUACUCGGAUUAUGCAAUUUUUCUUAACAUUCCAUGAAUGUGCUGGUCGUUUUGCAAGAAACAGUACUAAGCUAGUUCAGCUUAUAAUGCAGAGUACAAAAAGACAGAGAUGGUCAAGAGAUGCACGUUUUAUAUCUUAGAACAUGUAAUGACUCUGCUACUGAAUUACUUGGUGGAAUAAACCAUCAUGAGGUGCAAAGUGAUUCAAACUAUAUACGCUUUGCUUUAAGCUAAGUACAAGACAAUGACAUAGUUUGUGUAAACAAUAAGACAUGAUCAACCUUUAGUGCAGAAACAUUAUCAGACAAAACUAAAAAUUCAGUGUGGAGGAGGCAAGAGUUGAUGUAGGUUCUGAGGAGACCUAUUCUGACUCUGACUCGCCCCUCUACGCACAAAAGGAUGUUGCAAAAGCUGAACAGCGGUCUGCCUCCUCGCCGGUUCUCUCUGCAAACAACACGAAACAAAGUGUCUAAACUCCGGAGACGCCGUGGCAGGAGCUUCAGGCGGCUUAGACAUACAAAUGGCACACAUAAGACUAGCCCAAUCACCUAGCCUAUUCACAUUAAAAGGAAACCUCCCCAAGAAAAACUCAAGAACACUAACACCGAAGCUCCAAAUAUCACCAGCACGACCAUCAUACAUCCCCUGAUUCAAGUCCGUGUUGAUCCUCUCAGGACUCAUGUAAGCAAUAGUCCCAACAGAGGACUUACACGGAGACAGGGUCUGAGCCAAGACCCUACUCACUCCAAAAUCAGCAAUCUUGACGUUAUUGUCCGAGUUUAUAAGUAGAUUCGAUGGCUUUAUGUCUCUAUGGACUAUAUGACGGCCGUGAAGAUAAGCCAAACGAGCGUCGCUCAGCAAGUCGACGGCGAUAAUCCGAAUCUUUACUUCCACAGCGAUGACGUCAUACUCUGUGUCUUGCCCUUGUUCCAUAUCUACGCUUUGAACUCGAUCAUGCUGUGUGGGCUUAGAGUUGGUGCCUCCAUCUUGAUCAUGCCCAAGUUCGAGAUUAAUCUGCUCUUGGAGCUGAUACAGAGGUGUAAAGUGACGGUUGCUCCGAUGGUUCCGCCGAUUGUUUUGGCGAUGGCGAAGUCGCCGGAGACGGAGAAGUAUGACUUGAGCUCGAUUAGGGUUGUGAAGUCUGGUGCUGCUCCGCUUGGUAAGGAGCUUGAAGAUGCCGUAAGUGCCAAGUUUCCUAACGCCAAACUCGGUCAGGUGUGUGUUUGUGUCUCGAUUUGUUUCUUUAUUCGGAAAUACAGAAUCGUAACAUAUUAGAAAAUCCAAAUUAAAAUAUGGAAUUGAAUCACAUUACCAAAAAAAACAUUAUGGAAUAGUAUAUAUUUAGAUUAGCUAAAAAAAUGAUUAAAUUUAUUUAUUUUUUCAAAAAAAAAUGAUUAAAUUUUACUAUAUUUAAGUAAAUGCUGGCUAUGAACAGUGAAGUAUUUUAGCAACAAAAAAAACGUAGAUUUCUUUGCUUAGUAAUUUCAUGGUUUUUAAGUAUGAAUAUUCAUCUUUAAUCUACACAAGAAACAAGUAUUAUCAAAUGAUUUAAUUAUUUAGAUUACUUAUUAGAUGAUAUUUGCUAUUGACAUAAUCAAGAAAAAUGUAUGAAAAGAGUUACAAACUUGUAACAAUUAAAACUUGAUGUAACCCAAACAACAUAAAUUCAGAUUUUAUAUUUUAUUAUUUUGGUCAUUAGUUUUGUAAAGUGGUACAUGUAAAAUCAAAUGAUCAAUAAUAAUCUCGAUUAUUUAUGCAUUUUAAAAAUGUUUUAAAUGUAUUUUUAAAACUGUUGAUGUGAUUAGGGAUACGGAAUGACGGAAGCAGGUCCGGUGCUAGCAAUGUCGUUAGGGUUCGCGAAAGAGCCGUUUCCAGUGAAGUCAGGAGCUUGUGGUACGGUGGUUAGAAACGCCGAGAUGAAAAUCAUCGAUCCAGACACCGGAGACUCACUUUCCAAAAACAAACCUGGAGAGAUUUGCAUCCGUGGUCACCAGAUCAUGAAAGGUUACCUCAACAACCCGGCGGCUACAGCAGAGACCAUUGACAAAGACGGCUGGCUUCACACCGGAGAUAUCGGGUUGAUCGAUGACGACGACGAGCUUUUCAUUGUCGAUCGUUUGAAAGAGCUUAUCAAGUACAAAGGUUUUCAAGUGGCUCCGGCUGAGCUAGAGGCUCUCCUCAUCGGUCAUCAGGAUAUCACCGACGUGGCCGUUGUCGCGUAAGUACAAAAAAAAAACUUAACCCUAUCUUCUGUAGUUGUCGCGUGAGCGACACGUUUAGCAUGUUUUGAUUCUUAGUGGUUGGUUAAAGUGAUGACACACUUCAACAACAAAACAAAACGCUAACCCCAAAGAUUUAAAAACGUUGAAGCUUUUUUUGUCCUUAGUCAAAAACGUGGCAGUAAAGCGUUCAUUCAAUUAUAUGAAACGAACAUGGUUUUGGUUUGUUGCGCCUAGGGUUAACGACAAUGUCCUUUUUUGUCACCUUCUUACACUUGCUUUCUUUUGUUUUGUUCUGUGUAAAUUGAACAGAAUGAAGGAAGAGGCUGCUGGUGAAGUUCCCGUUGCGUUUGUUGUGAAAUCCAAGGAUUCAGAGUUAUCGGAAGAUGAUGUGAAACAAUUCGUGGCGAAACAGGUAAAAUGAAUUUUCGGUUUUUUUUUUUAUUUUUGAUCAUUCCAUGAAUUUUCAGUUCUUGAUUUUGAUUAUUGCAUGAGAAAAUAUUGAAUCACUUGGUUGAUGCAAAAUAUUUGUGUUUGUCUGUGAAUAACACAGGUUGUGUUUUACAAGAGAAUCAACAAAGUGUUCUUCGUUGAGUCCAUUCCUAAAGCUCCAUCAGGGAAGAUAUUGAGGAAAGACCUGAGGGCAAAACUAGCAAAUGGGUUGGUGAACUAAAGAAACGAAACGCAAAAGAUGUUCCAUUGUGUAUAUACAUACAACAACUGUUUGACGAACCCAACGAAGGAAGGAGAGGGACUCAUUCGAAUCAUACCAAUGUCUGUU
rnacentral:lncRNA from 1 species